rnacentral:ncRNA from 1 species
GAAAAGUGGGCUGUUGUGUCGGAGCAUUCGUAGCGAUGUCAUUUUUAGCUCUUUCUAUGUCCGCUUUUCCUCUCAUUGCGAAACAGAAUUCGCAGAACGCUGGAUUGUAUGUUUUGCACAGGGAUUAUAGGUUGGGAUUAGACCGUCAGGUAAGAGGUU